UGAGGGAUAUUGCACAAUGGGCGCAAGCCUGAUGCAGCAACGCCGCGUGAGGGAUGACGGUUUUCGGAUUGUAAACCUCUGUCCUUAGUGACGAAUAAAUGACGGUAGCUAUGGAGGAAGCCACGGCUAACUACGUGCCAGCAGCCGCGGUAAUACGUAGGUGGCAAGCGUUGUCCGGAAUUACUGGGUGUAAAGGGAGCGCAGGCGGGAUAGCAAGUCAGCGGUGAAAUGUAUGGGCUUAACCCAUGAACUGCCGUUGAAACUGUUGUUCUUGAGUGGAGUAGAGGUAAGCGGAAUUCCGAGUGUAGCGGUGAAAUGCGUAGAUAUUCGGAGGAACACCAGUGGCGAAGGCGGCUUACUGGGCUCUAACUGACGCUGAGGCUCGAAAGUGUGGGGAGCAAACAGGA
rnacentral:rRNA from 1 species